CUGCUUGUUCGCAUAUGUGCUGUGACGUCUGUUAAAGUAUUAAAUAAAAUAAUAAAAAUUUAAAUCCUUCGAUCAACGUUUGAAUUUUCAUUGACAAUCUUUGAAUGAGAUUGAAAGUUCCGAGAUUUAUUCUUCGUAUUAUCUGUACUAAGAUCGUUUAUCAUCAUUUCAUCCAGAUAUUGUGUUGCCCUCUGCUAGGCCUAUUCUGCUUAUGAAUCUGGAAUACGAAUCUCUAGAUCACUUCCUUCUUUCCCCAGGAGAAAUACACUCAAAAGUGCCUUGCUAUGGCAAAGCUAAAGCAUUCAAGAGUUUGCUCACUCCACUUUCAGAACGUGGAUUUCCUUUAUGUAGUCAUCCAUGGACGAAGGGAGUUUUAAAACUACAAAAGCAGGAGAAAAAACUUGACUUGUCAUCCCUUAUUUUCAAAUCUACUAAAAUAUCUCUCGACUCAAACACGGAAACCUCAAAGAUUCACUUCCAAAGCAACGACAUCUACAAGGAGAUCACGUGAAAAUGAAACUAUCAUUGAUUAAACUAUUAAUUAUUAUCCUUUGAUUCAAAGGAUUUCUGCAAAGUUGUCAAUGAAACUCACUUACUCAGUUUCACUGCCUCUCAGAAGUUUGUCUGUUAUUUUGACUGGUUAUUUUGAAGGAUGACUUAUAAAAUACUCACUUAUGACUCCUAAACAAUAACUCAGCCCUUUUAUCAAAAAAUAUUCAUAUGUCUAUAAAAUUGUAUAUAAUGAAGUUUAUUUAACUUAUGAAAAAUGGACUAGUUCAGGACUGUAAAAAAAAUCGUGAGCAUUCCAUAUCCUUAUAAUUCCAUGAUCUUACUUAUUUUCAUCACAUUCACGGGUUCUUGGUGAAAUUUCAUAGUGGUAUAUAAAUAUCUCAAUCACAAUGAUAUGGUAUUCAAAUAAUUGAAAUGUCUAUAAGAUUAUGUCGAAUAUUAUAUUACAUAUUUGCAUAAGAUUUGUGAAAGAAAUCAGGUGUCUCUAAAGAAAGAGAUUUUCCAUCGUUAUUAAUGGUUCAUAAUUUAUCAAUUUCAAAUUUAAACAUUUAUUCUGUUAUUAUGAAGAACGAUCUUAAUAUACGAAGGAUUUAAGCUUGACCUGUCUAUAUAGUCGUGAAAAAAAUCUCAAAUUCUUCAAUUUUAGAGGUAUCAUGGACGUCGACCAUCUCUAGAUCUUUUUAAAUUUCAUAAACACUAUCUGAAUAAUAAUAAUUAUUGUCGUAAUUGUUGAUUUCGUCGUUAUGAAAAAAUUCAAUCAUCAUAAACGAUGUUAUUCAGUUUCUUCCGUCUGUAUGGUGGGGAAAGGAAUCGCACAUACAGUUCACCAUUUGGGCCUUACAAAUUUGUUAGUAUAUCGACGUUUCUAUGUAAACUAUUUUAUUCUACAAACGGGUUUUCCCCGUUUCAUUGAAUUAUAAUGACCAUGGACGAAGGGAUUCAGCUUCAUCUAUCUACAUUAUGGUAGUAGAAUUAUCAUGCUCUACUUAUUUGGUAGUAAUUUAGAUGUCUAUGAUCUCCGAGCCUGUUCGAGUUACAUCAGUACUCUAUAAAAUAAUGACAAUUAUCGUCGUAUUGGAUUAACUUAAUCAUGAUGGAAAAAGGGAUUAUGCAUAACUUAUCAAUAUUGUCCCAGAUGGAAUUGAAUACUCAACAUUUUUAGUAAUUGUCUGUUAUUUGACUAGAUUCUUUUGAAGGAUGACUUAUCGAAUACUUUCUAAUAUCUCCUAAAAAAUAACUUUUAUCAGCUCUUCUAUUAAAAAAUAUUGAUAUGUCUAUAAAAUUGUAUAUGAGGAAGUUUAUUUAAUUUAUGAACAAUGGACAAAUGAAAUGGACUGCGAAAAAAGUCGUAAAAUUCUUUGAUUUUAUAUUUGUUCACCACUUUCAUGGAUUCUGGAUGAAAUAUUAAAAAUGGGUAUAUAAAUAUCUAAAUCACAAUGAGUGGUAUUCAAAUAUUUGAAAUGUUUAUAAGUUUAUGUCUCAUUUAAUAUAUUACAUUUAUGCAGAAGAUUUGUGAACUACAUCAGGCGUCUCCAAAGAAGGAGGGAUCGUUAUUAAUGGUUCGUAAUUUCAAAUCUGUUAAAACGUUUAUUUUGUAAUAACGAAGAACAAUCUUAAUGUAGGAAUGAAUUCAGCUUGACCUAUCUAUAUGGUUGUGAAACGAAUCUCACAUUCUACAUGUUUAGAGAUAUCAUGGACAUUGAUCAUUCCCAGACCUUUAUAAAUUUCAUCAACACUAUCUGAAUAAUGAUAAUUCAUGUCGUUAUGAAAUAAUUUAAUCACCAUCGACGAUGUGAUUCAGUUUCUUCCGCCUAUAUAGUUGGGAAAGGAAUCUCAUCUUCUUCAAUGUAAAGUAUUUUAUUCUAGAAACGUUUUUUUUCUCGUUGUAAUGAAGUAUAAUUACCAUGGACGAAGGGAUUCAUCUUCACCUAUCGAUGUGGUGGGAAUAGGAAUCUCAUACUCUACUUAUAUAGAGUUAUCUUAGAUGUCACUCAUUUGCGAGCUUGUCCAAGUUACAUCAACACUCUCUGAAUGACAAUUCUCGUCGUACUGGUCGUAUUGGACGAUGGGAUUAAACAUAAUUCAUCUAUACGGUCAUAUUUUGAAUUGCAUAUUCUACAUUUUUAAUAAUGUCCUAGAUGUCUAUCAUCUCCGGAUCUGCCAAAACUAUCAACAUUAUUUCAAUGAAGACAACUCUUAUAUUACUGACAAAAGGGAUUAAGCAGGUUACAUUUAUAUGUUCGUAGAUUGAAUCACAUAUUCUACAUAUUUAAUGAUAUAGUUGAUGUUGAUCAUCUCCAGACCUGUCAUGGAUAUAUGUAUCUUAUAUUCUGGUUAUAUUCAAUUUAGAUUUAAUGUUGUUAUUAUUUGAAUGUUUUUUCUCUUGGAAGUUUUAUUAUUUCUAUUUCAUUUUGAAAUUUAUCCAUUUCUUUGGACCUAUUUUAUUAUUUAACUAAUA
rnacentral:lncRNA from 1 species